GACAUUACUCAAUGAAUGGUGUCUUACAAUCAGUGGUGUAUUAAAAUCAAUGAAAUACAAUAUUAAAUUACUCUUUCUUGUAGAUUUUACUCAGAGUGUACAAUCAAUGGUACUUCUGGAUUUUCUCUAACAUUAAUUUAACUCCAGCAAUGGGAAAAUUAUGUACAGCAUUCAGAGAAACAUGAAGGAAAAAUGAGAGUAGGAUGAUCAAUAGAAAAUACAAUUGUAGAUCCUCUCAAGGAGACCUCUGAGGAAAAAGUAAUUCAGGCUGGCCAAUUACACUUACUUUGAAAGCACAGCUGUGAGGGGCGGAGGACACAAUGCAGAGAAGCAGGCACAGGAGAGAAAGAAAUAAAACUUGUAUUUAUUAUCUCCAUUCUUCCACUGUGCAAAAAAGGAAAGGACAUUAUGUUCACCAUCGCGAGACUGAGUGCCGAGCCACAAGCCAGUCCGAUGCCCAGGAAAGCAGCCAUCAUUGAUGAAGCGGUCUCUUGCUCAGCAGAAUCAACGACUCUGCAAAUUCGAUCACAGAUGAAGAAUUCACCAACCUUCCUAAGUCCAUAAGUCCAUCGAGGAUGUGAGUGUGCCUGUUCACGGAUUCUUCCCCAAGGUCAAGCUUCUUGUGGGGAUUACCAGGAUGUAUUAACAGCACCAGGAUCGUCCCCAGGAUCGCGUUGACUCACCCAUCAACACAGUGAGCUGCUGUCAACGCCCAGUUUUCGUUCAAGACGGAAGCUCCACAGCUGUGGCUUCUCGGACGUUGCAGUGAUAGCUGCAAGAAGAACACUGUUUUCAAGGAAGAAUUAUAGCAAACGAUGCAUUCAUGUGGCUGUGGGUCAUGGACGACACGUAACUGAUUUCGUUGCAUCCGGGCAGACACUGACAGACAGGGUUAAUCCAAUCUUCUGGCAUGUCAAUUUGACCUUCUUUUAGAAUCUUCAUAUCAAGAAGCUCUGAAACCCGACAGUUAAGGGACAUAAUAUAGACAGAGAAAGAAAUGUGUAUGGAACAGACUGAAAAUGCAUACAAAAUUUUUAGUCACAUGCGGGGAAAAUGGCAUGGAUGGGAGGAUAAUAUUAAAAUUAAUCUUAAAUAAAUUAGGUGUGGGGAUAACGAUUCGUCUGAUUUGGAUUAGGGUGUACGGUGGCAGACUCUGGUGGACGCAGUAAUGAACCUUCAGGCUCAAUAAGAGGUGGGGAGUUUCUUGACCAGCUGAACAAAUAUCAUCUUAUCGAGAAUGACUGCAAAUUCCAGUAUUCUCCUGGUUAUGUAGUUCUGUAAUACCCAGUAAAGGUUUUUUAAUUUAAAUUUGUGCUGUCUCGAGUCUUUAGAUUUUUUUUUCAGUCCCUACUGCCCCCCUCCCACGACCAUCCUUUUCUGUGAUACAUAAAAAUUUCUUUGCAUUGUUCCUUUCAAUUAUGCCAUUUAUUUUAUUGCAUGAUUGUCAUUUUAUGUCGAGAUCAGUAUUUUUAUUGAGAAGGCUGUGGUAAGAUAAUAUUGGAAUAUGCCAGGGAAUCAAUGUCUGAGAUUGGGUUGCGAUUAUAAGUGGGCGUUGGUAAUGUAUGUAAGUGUUACUGUCUGAUUCAAUGCACACAAGAAUAUUUGUUAUUAAUACAUCGCAAAACAGCCAAAAUGAACCUGUAUAAUUUGCAGCUUAAAAGUUAUUCUACUCACUUCGAGCCUUGUUUGCACAACUCUCCUCCUCCUUGCCACAUAUAGGAGUAUUAAUGUCCUCUGAAACAAAUUCAACAAUUUUAAAAUUAUAAAUCUGACAUUUGAUUAAAAUAGACUCAUGUAAAACUUGCCUUCUGCCUUGAAAAAUGGGGCACUUAAAAUAAUGAACUGUCUUAAUUUGUUGUCACGUACUUGGCAGGUAGAAUGGGACGCAUUUGCAGACAUCGAAGGUAUAGUUGGCCUCACACUCCAGAAUGCAGUUCCUCUUUGUGUAUGUACGGUAAAACUGAAGAUACUUGUCUUGUGAAUAGGCGCACUGUCGGCUUACUUCUUUCACAUUACGGAGUGACAUUGUGGAGUUGUUAAUGACUGGCUUGAUUUUUAUCCGAUACUCUCUUCCUGGCGCUAUCAGUGACCCAAAGUCUGCGAUCUUGGGCGUCUCCACUGGAUUGUGAAGGAGCAACUGAAACGGUGUGACAUACCAGACCAUUGAAAGAUGAUUUAGUCACACUGUUUUAAUGUGUGUGUCGAAUUAAAUUUGUUUAAAAAAUGCAAAAAAAAAAGAAUGCUGCAUCUGUCCAUCCAUUUCUGGACCUUGGAUCUUAAUUAAAUGGGUAUUGAGAGAUUAUUUUGUGGUAAGAAUCCGCCUCUUAAGAGCUUUAACUUUGGGAUGGCCGAUAGAGUUGUACUGUAUGGAUUUUGAAGGCAUUGUGCUGAAUGUCACUGAAUUGUCUCCAGUUGUCCAAAAGAUUUCUUUGUCUUGUAGAAAAAAAUGAUAAAAUGACGGUUGAAAUGACAUGAAAAAAUUCGUGCAAAUGCCCAGUGUAAGCCGUGGCCCUCACCUUGAAGCCAACACUCGCAGAUGUCGAACAGUGAAAUUGUUGUAAUUCUGCAUCUAAGACAAUAGUCAAUCCCAAGUGAGUCCCUGAACCACGAGGUCUCCAGGGGAGUGUAUCGGGGGAACUGCUAGGUGGAUAUCCUGCUUCCGGAGUCCAGUCUACGGUAUCCAUUGGAAAGGUCACAUUCAGAUCGGAGAGAUUACGUCUGUAACAAGUUAGGAAAUAUAUAUCAUAAAUGCAUAUCGUAACAAUUCUGUUCAGAUUUCCAUUGGAAUUGUAAGGGGUAAAUGGCCUGUGCGUGGGCAUGUGGCUGAGUUAUGAUGUAAUUAUUGGAGAUGUCCCUCGUGGUUGACUGCGGAUUUCCCCGGAUAUAGAUCUUAGACCUGCAACCUCAAGUAUGCCAUCCACUGAUGAUGGCAGAUGGGGAUGGAGCAUCGGUAGAAUGAUGAAUUCGGGGGCAAACUGAAUUUUCUCAUAAAUAUCUGCCCCAGUGUCACUUUGUGCAGCACAAAUCUUGAUUGGACUGAGCUGACAAAUAACUGCUUGACUUUUCAUUGGCUAGAUCAAGUAAGAUGAUUUACCAUGGAAUUGGCUGCCAUAGAGAAUUCAGUAUGUUUAAUUUCUCUGAUGUUUUUAGAGUUAUGGCUUACGGGUUUCUGAAUAUAUACUCUCUCUUCACUUUGUUGAAGGAACAGCAGAUUCCUUCAUCUGUUAGUGAAGGGUUAAAGAUGUCAGUGCAAUUCUUAAGAUCCCCAGCAAAGUAACAAGCUUUGAUCAUUUCAUGGCAUGGCUGUCUGACCUGUAACAGAGUGCGAAAGCUACGUGAAUGUGGAACCAAACAUAGAACCAAUAAUACACCGGUUGAUGUGGCCUGCCGCUGUCAAUGAGCUUCAGAUUUCCGUACUUCAUUCAUGGUGCAGAUGGUGAUCGCUGGGAACGGAAUGUCGGUGAGUUGAGUAGUCCUUGCCCCAAUGGAGACGAUGACCGGGGUCUCGUCCCACUUGGCGUAAACAGUGUUGAUGAAGUAGCCCGCAGUAAUGGUGGCAAGAAUGAAUGCCACUGACCAAAACAACCUGAAAACAACACGAUCACUCUCUGACUCACUCUGUGAGCUAAUCGUCAAUAAAUCAAAUUCCCGCAUUU